rnacentral:lncRNA from 13 species
CUUAUCCAUUGUCACUGUUUGUUUCCCUGGCUGAGUUGAUGAGCUGAUUUGGCCCAUCAGAUUGACAUAUGUAGGCCUACUGAAGAACGAUCAACUCUCCUCCAGUGUAGAUGCUCACCAAAGACACCUGUAUGGAACCAGCACU